rnacentral:lncRNA from 1 species
CAGCACUGGACAUGAGGAAGAUGAGGUGUUUAUAGCUCAGGGGUGGGGUGUUUCCAAAUGGGGAAUUUGGUGGGCGAAAUAGGUUGGAUUAGAGGGACAGAACAUAAGCAUACAAGUUAGUCAUAAGGAUCUCCUGAAACACAGACAUGAUUGCGAGGUGGUCAUAAGGUAGUCAUGACAACAGAGAGACACAGCCACCUUUUGAAACAAAGGUGGAGUUGCCCGACGGUUAUAACUUUUUGAAACAAAGACCUGGUUGCCAUUUCCUGGAACAGGCAGCACAAAACCACUUGUAGCUUGCCCCAGACUGGGUUAGGCUGGACCUGUGCCAGGCCAAGAGCAGCCCGCCUGCAAUCGGGGAAAGAACCAUUCUGGUUGUGCCUUUCCUAGCUGGGCAUCAAGAAGAAGAACGAAGUCCAGAAUGAUAAAGAUGGAGGCGUGUCCAGGUACUUCCUGAUCUCCCUUCGAAUCGCCACUUAACUGUAAGACUGGUGUGGCGAGUCUGGAACUUUGGAGGAAGCCCUUGAGUCCAAAGUGGCACCGUGGGCACACCAAGAUAAGGGCUCUGCCUACCAUCUUGCCAUCAGUCAGGAGAGAAGGCCUGCACUUGGACCAGAAGUCAGUCAGACCUGAUGCUGAGCGAUUGCAUUUGCUCUGGGCCUCACUUUCCUUAUCUGGGCAAUGGGAUCAUAAUGCCUGCUGCCUGGCUAUCUUUGGAAGCUGUUUCAGAGUGGACAUGAGUUCUAAACUCAGCUCUGAAUCUCAACUGGCUUCAGCCCUCACGGCCAAGGUUUGGUUUUCCUCAUUAGCAAACUUCUCCCAGCUCCAUUUGUCAUUGGUGGGAGGGUGAGGGUGAAGUCGUGACUGUAGAGGCUUAUUGUUUAAACUGGGUAUCCAGCUCUCUGGAUGUUUCCUGUUUAAUGUGUGUGUGGGAGGGUAGGGGGCUCAGAGGCCCACCCUUGUGGAAAGUGAAGUAGGUUGUUGUAAACAAUCCCACAUAGAGGAUCUAUUAUGUCAUCCGGAAGGAGAGAGAUUUCAGCCACCAGGAAGGCUCCCUGAAGAGAAGCAGGCGCUGGCUGGAAGGGUGGGUCCACAUGGUGCUGGAGACUGCUGGGUAAAGUCAGGAGUGGAGAAUCCCAGGCCUGUGGGAGGGGAGUGUGGCGUGUGAGUCAGCCUACAGAGCUUGGCCACAUGUAUACAACAGCCAGGAGCUGGGGCCAGAGGUUAAACCAGAGAAGCCUUAAAUGAGCCGC